ACUCCUACGGGAGGCAGCAGUGGGGAAUAUUGCACAAUGGGCGCAAGCCUGAUGCAGCCAUGCCGCGUGUAUGAAGAAGGCCUUCGGGUUGUAAAGUACUUUCAGCAGUGAGGAAGGUGGGUAUGUUAAUAGCAUAUUCAUUUGACGUUAGCUGCAGAAGAAGCACCGGCUAACUCCGUGCCAGCAGCCGCGGUAAUACGGAGGGUGCGAGCGUUAAUCGGAAUUACUGGGCGUAAAGCGCAUGCAGGUGGUUUGUUAAGUCAGAUGUGAAAGCCCGGGGCUCAACCUCGGAAUUGCAUUUGAAACUGGCAAACUAGAGUACUGUAGAGGGGGGUAGAAUUUCAGGUGUAGCGGUGAAAUGCGUAGAGAUCUGAAGGAUACCGGUGGCGAAGGCGGCCCCCUGGACAGAUACUGACACUCAGAUGCGAAAGCGUGGGGAGCAAACNGGAUUAGAUACCCUGUAGGCUCUGC
rnacentral:rRNA from 1 species